CCGAAUUGAGCAGACUGGUUCUCCAAGUUGUGCAUUUUUAUAUUCCAUUUAUGUGCAGUCCACCAUAAUUUUCCAACUCAGACGGUCACACUUGGAAUUUUGGAUUCCAAGAAGAGAUAGAGAGAUAGAGAGGAUUUUGCUGCUCUGGGUGCGAAGAAAAAGAAAAUUUUUUCCUUGAGCGAGCCAGUUGGGUCGUGUUUCCCAACAGUUGAGCCUUUUUCUGGGACCGCGAAAUCCUCCCCUUCUCUCAAACUCAAGUGGGUCACUCCUUGAGGUCCUACUCAAACCCACUUGCUUGCUUCCGGUGUCUCUAGCCUGCGUUCACCUGCCCCUUUAUUCAACCUCUCUUCCCUCUUUUCAAUGGCCUCUGCCCCCUUCUCAGUCUGAAUUAAGAUCUAUUUCUCGGGGUAUUCGUUCAUUACUCACAUUCCGUUAUCAGGCGGUAAUACAAUUCAAACUUCGAUUUCGAUAUUGCUAUUGUUUUACAUAUAUAUAUAUAUCUAUGCUUCGAUUUAGUAUCUGUUUCUGUUUUCAAUUCGAGUUUGGAGUGCGUUUGUUUGUUUAUCGAAAGUAGGAAGCUGGUGUUCGAUACAAGCAUCUGGGUCAGUCGAUAAUUCCCGGAGCUUGACUUUGAAGCGCUUGAAAUCGUUAUGGCUUCUGGGUUUGACGGGAUGGUUUAACUAUGGGUUUUGCGCAAAAGGGGCUUUUCACGAUUGAUUUUGAACUUCCAACGAGUUUUUAGUGGUCACACAGCGAUUGGAGUUUGAUGCUAAUUCUAAGACAAUGGAGAGGCUUAUGGCCAGAUUUUUACUUUAGCAUUCAGCCCUCUGACUUCGUGAAAAUAAUAUGAAGAACCUCCUCAAGAAGUUCCAUAUCAUGUCCAGUAGUCAGCCUGACGACACAGCAGAAGGGUCCACUUCAUCGAGGGGCAGUAAAUUACUUGAGGCUCCAUCGCCUGAUAAGCUGCCAUCUCGCUCUCGGCCGGCCCAUUUUAAUUCGGAGCAUAAACCCUUCUCGGGGAUAUCCGGUUGGUUGAACUCUGUUGCAAAUAGACGUAGCCUCAGCCCUCCAUCAUCUUCGAAUCCCACAGCAGGAGAGAUAAUGGAGCCUUCUGAUUCAGUAUCUAGCAGAGACGCUGCCAUGGAUACAUCAAGGCAUGAUUCAGGGUCGAGUAACUCGAGGGAUCCUGAUAUAGAGGAAGAGUAUCAGAUACAGCUUGCUUUGGAAAUGAGUGCCAGAGAGGAUCCUGAGGCUGCUCAGAUUGAGGCAGUGAAGCAGAUCAGUUUGGGCUCAUGUGAUCCUGAUAACACUCCAGCUGAAGUUAUUGCCUUCAGAUACUGGAAUUACAAUUCUCUUAGCUAUGAUGACAAGAUCUUGGAUGGCUUCUAUGACCUAUAUGGAGUCUUCACUGAAGCCACCUCAGAAAGAAUGCCUUCCCUAGUUGAUCUGCAAGGAACACCAAUGUCUGACAGUGUCACUUGGGAAGCAGUUGUGAUCAAUAAAGCUGCUGAUGCUAACUUAUUGAAACUUGAACAGACGGCAUUGGAGAUGGCCAUCAAGAUGAGGUCUGAAUCUCCAGUUUCUGUCAAUAGUUAUUUGGUACGGAAGCUUGCUGUUUUAGUUUCUGAUCAUAUGGGGGGAGCAGUGGGGGAUCCUGAAAAGAUGUUGAGAAAAUGGAGAAGUCUUAGUAACAGCUUGAAAGCAACCCUUGGUAGUAUGGUUUUGCCUCUUGGCUCCCUUACUGUUGGGUUGGCUCGUCAUCGUGCAUUGUUAUUCAAGCUUUUGGCGGAUGGCGUGGGUAUCCCUUGUAGGUUGGUCAAAGGACCACAGUACACAGGUUCUGAUGAUGUGGCAAUGAACUUCGUAAAGAUCGAUGGUGGAAGGGAGUACAUUGUGGAUUUAAUGGCAGAUCCUGGUACACUUAUUCCAUCUGAUGCUGCUGGAUCACAUGUUGAGUAUGAUGAAUCCCCUCUUUCAGCCAGUCCACUUUCUAGAGAUGUUGAUUCCUCUCAGGCAGCCUCUUCAAGCAGUGGAGUUGGCAGUUCAUUGGAGGAAAACUCAGAUUUUGGUAUAUCAGAUAGGAAACCGAAGUCCCAGAAUCUCAGUGCCACAAAGGAAUACGAUCCUCCCAAUUUUGACAAGGGGCUAUCACGCGAUUUUGCUAGCAAACCAAAUUAUCCUGGCAUGCACGUGAGAUCCCCUUCUUGGACCGAGGGUGUUAGUUCACCUGCAGUGCGCAGAAUGAAAGUAAAGGAUGUUUCACAGUACAUGAUUGAUGCUGCCAAAGAGAAUCCACGAUUGGCUCAGAAGCUUCAUGAUGUGUUGCUCGAAAGUGGUGUAGUUGCUCCCCCUAACUUGUUUACUGAGGCAUAUCCUGAUCAAAUAGAUGUUAUCGUUGAGUCGAGGUCACCAGUUGAAGACAAGGAUGAAAGUAGAAAGGUACCUGAUCUCUGCGAAAGUGUGGAUAGGAAAGAUCCUCGCCCAGCAAACUUUUUGCCUCCCUUGCCUCAGCACAGACUACAUUCUAAAGCAAGUCCUACACACGGACAACAACAGCAUCUUAAACCCCUGGAACUCAACCCUUCUCUUGAUUCAAGAGAAACAGCUGGACAACCCAUAGCCUUACCAUUUGAGGUAACUCCAGUGAAGUAUGGGAGAAAUGUACCUGUUGCUGCUGCAGCAGCAGCAGCUGCAGCUGUUGUUGCAUCAUCAAUGGUAGUGGCUGCAGCAAAGAGUACUGAUGCAAAUCUUGAAAUUCCUGUAGCAGCUGCUGCCACUGCCACCGCUGCUGCAGUGGUUGCAACAACUGCAGCAGUCAACAAGCAGUAUGAGCAGGUUGAAGCUGAUGCUGCUCUUUAUGAGCAGCGUGGAAGUGGAGGUAGGGAGCAUGACGCUUGUGGAGAACAUUCAGAGGGUGAACGAAUAUCAGAUAGAUCAGCAGGGAAUGAAAGCACAAAAUCUGAUAUUACACUUGAUGACGUUGCAGAAUGUGAGAUCCCAUGGGAAGAAAUAUCCGUGGGAGAGCGUAUUGGACUUGGGUCAUAUGGGGAGGUCUAUCGUGGAGAUUGGCAUGGAACUGAGGUAGCUGUGAAGAGGUUUUUAGACCAGGAUAUUUCUGGUGAAUCUCUUGAAGAAUUCAAAAGUGAGGUUCGAAUUAUGAAAAGGCUUCGACAUCCAAAUGUAGUUCUCUUCAUGGGAGCUGUGACACGUGCUCCCAAUCUUUCAAUUGUUACAGAAUUUCUUCCCAGAGGUAGCUUGUACAGGUUAAUUCAUCGGCCUAACAACCAAUUAGAUGAUCGAAAGCGAUUGAGGAUGGCCCUUGAUGCAGCUCGGGGAAUGAAUUAUUUGCAUACUUGCACACCUGUUAUUGUACAUCGUGAUUUGAAGUCCCCAAAUCUUCUUGUUGACAAAAAUUGGGUUGUGAAGGUAUGUGAUUUUGGUUUAUCAAAAAUGAAGCAUAGCACAUUUCUUUCUUCAAGGUCAACAGCUGGAACGGCUGAGUGGAUGGCUCCAGAAGUGCUAAGAAAUGAACCUUCAGAUGAAAAGUGUGACGUGUAUAGUUAUGGAGUCAUACUAUGGGAGCUUUGUACGAUGCAACAACCAUGGGGUGGAAUGAACCCGAUGCAGGUAGUUGGUGCGGUUGGGUUUCAGCAUCGCCGUCUUGACAUCCCAGAUAAUAUGGAUCCUGCCAUUGCUGACAUUAUUCGGAAGUGCUGGCAGACAGAUCCAAAGUUGAGACCGUCGUUUGGCGAGAUCAUGGCUGCGCUGAAGCCGCUGCAGAAGCCAUCAUCGAGUGCUCAAGUACCGAGACCAAAUGCUUCUGCAGGUAGUGGCCGUGAGAAGGCUUGAUUGUUACAUGCUGUCGAAGACCCGUCAGGCUAGACGAGCAAGUAUACGGGCAAACGGAGUCGGGAACCUUGUGUAGUUGCGAUUAAAGAAGAGCAGCAAGUUUGUUGAUUGUAUUGGACAAGCAUGAGAAAGAGAUUGCUUGAGAAUGAAGAGCAAAAGUUGCAGGACAGGAGAUGGUAAAUUGGAAUGGAGAAACAAGGCAUUUUGUUAACACAAGACUGAUACAUCUUUUCAAGUUCAUAUAUUUGAAAUCUCCUCCCCUUUUUUGAGUG